GUUUCGCUCUGUGUAGCGGAGAGCGCUUUUUCCUUCUGCGCCUUCUGUUGCUGCCUUGGGUGCCAGGGAACUGAGGCGUCGAGAGUCUCUUUUCCCGGAGGAGAGCGCCUUCCUCGAGGGCUUCGGAGCGGAGCCUGAGCCAAGCCAAACUCGCGGCCCAGACCCCGGCGGGGCGGUGGCGCAGGAGCGGCCGGCCGGGAUCGGCUGGUGGCGCGGUCCUUGCAGAGCGCUGAGCACUGUCUGGGCGCCCGGGACUUCGGCACUGCCUAUGCUCAUUACCUCCUAGUGCUCAGCCUGGCGCCGGAGCUCAAAGACGACGUGAAGGAAACUUUUCAGUAUACACUCUUCAAGUGGGCUGAAGAGCUUGAUGCACUCAGUCAAGUACAGGACUUACUUGGUUGCUAUGAGCAGGCCUUGGAACUCUUUCCUGAUGAUGAGGUGAUUUGCAAUAGUAUGGGAGAGCAUCUCUUCAGAAUGGGCUUUCGAGAUGAGGCAGCUGGGUAUUUUCAUAAAGCAGUGAAGCUCAACCCUGAUUUCAGUGAUGCAAAGGAGAACUUCUAUCGUGUUGCAAACUGGCUGGUGGAGCGCUGGCACUUCAUCAUGCUCAAUGACACCAAGAGGAACAGGAUUUACAAUGCAGCAAUCCAGAAGGCAGUGAGCUUGGUAUUUUGGAAAGGGGUGCAAAGAAGACACAUACUCAGUGCCAGUCUUCCAGAAGUGUACCCGGAGACAAGCAGGCUGUUAAAAUGAAAGUGGAAAUUCUUCGGGCAGGCACUUCAAGGCUGCACAUUGGUUUAAAGACAAAAUAAGCUCACAGAGACGGACAGAAUCUGAGAUGUCUGGGUGUAAAUGAUGAAGUGACCAGUGCCCCUUGGGUCCCUUCCUCCAGGCAUCUAAGAAGCAGGCCUUGAUGGGCUUGCUUCCUUCUGCAUCAGUGAUGGCCAGAGUGUCCUGUGAAGUGAGCCCUGGACCACUUAUAAAACAAAAGUGGUACUUUACCAACCUGAGUGCCCCAUAGGACAUUAGGACGUGCUUAACUCUUUCACUUCCUAGAAGACGAGAAAAAUAAUGUGAAAUUACUGCUCGAAGCUUGAACUUCAUUUUACCUUAACAAAGGAAUGAAAAGCCAAUUCCUUCCAGAGCCUUGAAAGAGAAAACCAAGUUCACGUGCUCACAAAAACUGAAGGCGCAUUUGUUUCAGAAUUUGAUAGAAGAUAUGGGAAGACUCGCGGGGGACAGGCAAAGAAGACGACUGUCUUGCAGUGGAAAGGGGGACUCGUGACUUUAUAGUGUGCACAGGACUGUCGCAAAGCGUUUUAAGGAAGGUUAAAAGCGUGGAGCACUUUGGACUAGGAGUGGGCAAAACUGUGCUCUCCUGUACAACGUGAAGUUUUUACUGAUGGGGCAACAAAUGGUGGUCCAUUUGACCCCUUUGAAGAAGAUUCAGAUUUAAAAGAAGUUAGAACCUGGACAAGUCGGCAGAAGUAACACCGUGAGAGGAUGCUAGAGUUGAAUGGGAGCGUGAGGGUCAAUUAGAAAGCCCAGAUGGAUGAUGGGAUGCAAGGUUGAGUUAGUUUGCUGAUUGUGGAAGCUUGUGUCCAAUCACGUGGUCUCAACCCAGGCACAGGAUGCAGUGAGCUCUCUUCCUCAGAGCCGCCUUCAGUCACUGAACUCAGCCGUGGGUGUCUCAGGGCUCCAAACUUGCAAGGUGUUUGGUGUAAGAUUAAAGCCACAGGACGGCUGGGACCAGGCUUCUGCAGUCACUACUUUCAAGAAAAUAUCAAGGAAACGCCUUCUUUCUUGCCAGGAUGGUUUUCACACAGGGAAAAACGCAGUCUGCGAAGCCGUCGUGAGAAUGUGUGUUAUCAGCACCUGGAACCAUCUCCUGAAAGGAGUGAAAAUUAUUGGGGCCCUGUUACAGAAGGUAAGAGUGGCUAGCUGUGAAUGUAGAAACAGGAGCUUGACUAAAGUCACUUCCGGGAACUGGUUUACAUUUUCAGGAUUUUUUAAAAAUUAAAAACCAUGGAAGACUUAGUAUACUUGAAAAGCCAGUCAGCUACCUUUCAGCCUAGUUUUGCAAGAAAACGGAAAUAAAACGUUCAGGAGAUCAGAAAAUGGUUACAUAGUUGAUUACACCGUCGUUACAGUUAUUUGCAGGGAAAUGGCCUUGACACCUACAAACAACACUGGGAAAUUUGACUGACAGCUGAUGUAGAAGGGUCUUUCUCCCCACAAUCCCAAAUACAUAUGAUAUAUACGACAGCAAGUCAUAACACCAGAGACGUGAGCAAGAUGAGGGAGCGAACGAGAAAGAAAGCGCUCUAAGCCGGGGUGGACUCGGGAAGACUGUUCUCCAGGACAGCCCUACACAAGCCGGGGUGGACUUGGAAGAUUGUUCUCCAGGACAGCCCUACACAAACCGGGGUGGACUCACUCGGGAAGAUUGUUCUCCAGGACAGCCCUACACAAACCGGGGUGGACUCACUCGGGAAGAUUGUUCUCCAGGACAGGCCUACACAAGCCGGGGUGGACUCACUCGGGAAGAUUGUUCUCCAGGACAGGCCUACACAAGCCGGGGUGGACUCACUCGGGAAGAUUGUUCUCCAGGACAGGCCUACACAAGCCGGGGUGGACUCACUCGGGAAGAUUGUUCUCCAGGACAGCCCUACACAAGCCGGGGUGGACUCACUCGGGAAGAUUGUUCUCCAGGACAGGCCUACACAAGCCGGGGUGGACUCGGGAAGAUUGUUUUGCAAGACAGCCUCCCACAAUCUUGGGUUAAAAAUCUGCUACUCAGGGGCUGGCAGAGGUGUGAGGCAGAAACCGUUCAGUCUCAAGUGCCCAACAAAGUUGACUUCCCUUGGCUUCUGCUGCUUUCUCUGACAUCUGCCUUCUCUGUCACACAUGAUUCUUUGUCUCUGUCUCUCCCUCUCCCCCAUUUCUCUCUCUGUGUGUCUGUCUAUCUGUUAAAGUUUCUUUCAAUAGAAAUACCAGUUCUAUUGGAGCAGGGACCCAUCCAACUCCAGUGUAUCUUUACCUGGUCUGCCAGGAUCUUAUCUCCAAGUUCACAUUCUGGAUAACAGGGCUUUAAUUUUCUCAUAUCAGUAGUGGUGAUAGUGGGGAUCCACCUCACCCCAAGCUCCAAAUGUAAAAUAAUUAUUAGAUUUUUUUUUCUGAGACAAUGUUUCCCUGUGAAACAGUUCUGACUACCCUAGAACUCUCUCUAUAGACCAGUAUGACCUCAAACUCACAGAGAUUCGCCAGCCUCCCCCUCCCAAGUGCUGGGAUUAAAGGCGUGUGCCACCAUCACCCGGUGUCAGUUUUUUCCCUAAAGUCUCUUUGUUCUGCUCAUAACCAGACUAUCCCAGACAAACAUGAUGGCCUUUAUAGGCCAUGCACGAAAGCCACACCAGUAUCAUGCAAGCUCCCACUUCUCAGCAACUAGAAAGGCAUAGACCUUGUCUCUCACAGACGCCCAGGACUCCUGUGUGCUUGUGAAGAGCUGAGCAAGCAGGAACCUCACCACUGUGCGUGUCCAGUUGUAGCGCGCCAGAGUCCUCAGAAUUUAGCAAGGCACACAUACAGCUUUUUUAGGGUUGUGGCUAUCAGGCCGGGACAGACCUGUGCCACGUGUGGGAGGGACUUGGAUUAGUUCUUCUAAUUUUCAGCGGAUAAAACCAGACAGCUAAUCUUUGCUCACCAUUUCACUCGUUGGCCAAAUUCCUGGCUUUGCUACGUUUGUGGCAGCUUGUUAGUAACGCAGGCAUAAUUUUCGUUCUCAACAGUUUUGGGGCUUUCUCUGUGCAUCUGUCUCCACAGAUGGGGAAGUUCUUUUAAAAAAGCUUACUUGUUAUUAAUUGUUAAUUCUUAAAAAUCUGACCUAAUAUAUUGAGGUAUUUUAUAAUUAUUACUUUUGGUUAUGAAAUUCUCAUCUGAAACAGGAAGAGAGCAGACAAAGGCCAAAAAAUAAAUAAAAGGAAAAUUUCCGUCUUAGAAA